GACUAUUUAGCUGCUUGAAGUAAAAGUUGUAACAAGGUUUCCGGAGGUGAACCUGCGGAAGGAUCAUUACUGAUUUGCUUAAUUGCACCACAUGUGAUUUUUAUUGAACAAAUUGCUUUGGUGGCGGGAGCAAUCCUACCGCCAGAGGUUAUAACUAAACCAAACUUUUUAUUUACAGUCAAACUUGAUUUAUUAUUACAAUAGUCAAAACUUUCAACAACGGAUCUCUUGGUUCUCGCAUCGAUGAAGAACGCAGCGAAAUGCGAUACGUAAUAUGAAUUGCAGAUAUUCGUGAAUCAUCGAAUCUUUGAACGCACAUUGCGCCCUUUGGUAUUCCAAAGGGCAUGCCUGUUUGAGCGUCAUUUCUCCCUCAAACCCCCGGGUUUGGUGUUGAGCAAUACGCUAGGUUUGUUUGAAAGAAUUUAACGUGGAAACUUAUUUUAAGCGACUUAGGUUUAUCCAAAAACGCUUAUUUUGCUAGUGGCCACCACAAUUAGUUCAUAACUUUGACCUCAAAUCAGGUAGGACUAUCCGCUGAACUUGAACCAUAUCAAUAAGCGAAGAAAAACAUGGCAAUUUCAUAAAUUA
rnacentral:rRNA from 1 species